GACGAACGCUGGCGGCGUGCUUAACACAUGCAAGUCGAACGAUGAAGCUGGAGCUUGCUCCGGUGGAUUAGUGGCGAACGGGUGAGUAACACGUGAGUAAUCUGCCCUUGACUCUGGGAUAACUGCGGGAAACUGUAGCUAAUACCGGAUACGACACCUUCGGGCAUCCGAUGGGUGUGGAAAGAAUUUCGGUCAAGGAUGAACUCGCGGCCUAUCAGCUAGUUGGUGAGGUAAUGGCUCACCAAGGCGACGACGGGUAGCCGGCCUGAGAGGGUGACCGGCCACACUGGGACUGUGACACGGCCCAGACUCCUACGGGAGGCAGCAGUGGGGAAUAUUGCACAAUGGGCGAAAGCCUGAUGCAGCAACGCCGCGUGAGGGAUGAAGGCCUUCGGGUUGUAAACCUCUUUUAGUUGGGAAGAAGCGAAAGUGACGGUACCUGCAGAAAAAGCACCGGCUAACUACGUGCCAGCCGCCGCCGUAA
rnacentral:rRNA from 1 species